GACGAACGCUGGCGGCGUGCUUAACACAUGCAAGUCGAACGGAAAGGCCCUGCUUUUGUGGGGUGCUCGAGUGGCGAACGGGUGAGUAACACGUGAGUAACCUGCCCUUGACUUUGGGAUAACUUCAGGAAACUGGGGCUAAUACCGGAUAGGAGCUCCUGCUGCAUGGUGGGGGUUGGAAAGUUUCGGCGGUUGGGGAUGGACUCGCGGCUUAUCAGCUUGUUGGUGGGGUAGUGCUUACCAAGGCUUUGACGGGUAGCCGGCCUGAGAGGGUGACCGGCGACAUUGGGACUGAGAGACGCACCAGACGCCUACGGGAGGCAGCAGUGGGGAAUAUUGCGGAAUGGGCGGAAGCCAGAUACAGCAACGUCGCGUGCGGGAUGACGGGCUUCGGGUUGUAAACCGAUUUCGCAUGUGACGAAGCGUGAGUGACGGUAAUGGGUAAAGAAGCACCGGCUAACUACGUG
rnacentral:rRNA from 1 species